AUUGGUUACACACGCUGUCAGGUUUAGUAUAGUGGUGACCACGUCUAGUCAACCUGAGCCACCAGAGCAGUGAACACACAGAAGAAUAUAUGGUCUAUUGUUCUCAAGUGCAGUUUGUCCUCUUAAGUUUAUAAUAUGAAUAUUUGAUUGAUGUAAUUAACACUUUACACUAUGUGAGGUUCAUUGAAAUGUUUAACUGUGAUAUUUGAAAUCCCUUUAGCCUGCAUGUGAGGACACUGCUAACAUGAUGGAUGACGUUGAACCAAGCCACUCAACUUUGGUCCUCUGACCAACACUGGAGCUUCCUCUUCUGACCUAAAGCCUGGGACAGCAUUAUGGACAUGGUUGAACCAAGCUGCUCAGCUUCAAGUCCUGUGACCAACUCUGGAACUUCUUCUGGCUUAAAGCCUGCAUGUGAGGACUCUGCUAACAUGAUGGACGUGGUUGAAUCAAGCUGCUCAGCGUCAAGUCCUGUGACCAACUCUGGAACAACUUCUUCUGG